GGGAGCAGGGCCCACAGGGCCCCCCAGGAGAGCGCCGCUGCCCCCUGCACGGGAGCGGGGCUCGUGGCCCCCGCGGGCUGCGGAGGGCGGUAAGAGCUGGCUUUGGGACAACGUGGGGCAAGGGGCCUCCGUGAGUGACAGAGCUGAAGAAACCUGGAGAGGAAUUUGGAUGACAUUUGUUAGCCGGCCGUGCUUCAGGGCAGGUGGCUCUGCGCUUCCCAUCGGGGUGGAAGCAGUUCAGACUCCGAAGGUCUGUAUAUGUUCUCCUCCUGUUUUGUCAAGACUACCUUGUGACUCUGAAAGCAUGACAGCGAUGAAGCAAAGGAGAUCCCUGAGCAGAUGGCAGGUGAUUAGAAUGAGAUAAGGAAAUGGCAUGUCAUAUACUAAAAAUACAGAUGAGGGGUCAGCGACAUAUAUAAAUGCAAAGCAUCUUUUAUUUCAGUAUUGUUGAAGGAAUUUACCAACAUUCAUACCUGAAAUUUGGAAACAUGCUACUGUGUUUUUAGAUCAGCCCUGUGAAGUCUUUUUUUUGCAUUGGAAUUAAACUGUGAUUCUUCACUGUGCUCUAAAUGGAGUCAGAGCUGGUAUGCCACCAUGCCCCAGCGGAGGGCAGGCCACAAUGCAUUAUCGUAACUGGAGGACUGUAAUAAAGCAUGAUUUAAAAAC
rnacentral:lncRNA from 1 species